AAAAAAUGGCAUUUCAAAGUUAUUUAAGAAACAUUAUAGGAAAAGAGGGAAAAAUUAAAAUGCUGCAUUUUACUUGUACUAGACUGGUCAACAGGGUCACUCAAAAAUAAGCUCACUUCACUUGUAUUAAUAACUAAUUGUUAGUACAAGUUUGUUACUUGGGAAUGAAAAACAUGUACAAAGUCCUGUGUAUGUUACUCAAAAGGCUCCUUUGGUUUGUUAAGAGUAGGAAUGCUUCCUUGUCUGAUAAGUGUUUCUCUCGCAGUUGUUUAGCUUUAGACUUGCUGAUAUGGGGAUUGUAUUCAUUUGUUAACCAAUGGGGAAUGUUAUUUUGUCUUGUGAGGCUGGGAGCUUGGGGGGUUUUCGCGGUUUUUUCAGAGGAGUCAAGAAGACGCCGCCAAGGAAGGUGGACGUGCGCUGCACUGCUUGGUUGACCACCGGGGUGGUCCCAGGUGCAAGGACGUGGAGGUCGGAGGAAAGUGACGAGGUGUCGAAUGGUUCAAUGGUUGAGCUCCAACGAUGUGCACUAAACUGACUGAACUUUGGUAUCACAGGACUGCAUCCUCAUUCAACGUUCACAAUGUAACCCUGGCAGGGUUAAAUCCUUUGCAACUGAGAACACUGAGAAAGCUCACCGACUACCAUCUAUUUGUACACAGCAGAUAAACAUUCAGAUAUGGAAGUGAAGCUCCAAAGUAAAACUGCAAAUGCUGAAAGUAGAAAAAGUGACACCAGCAAAAUUCUCCUUCCACAGUAAUCUCAGACAGCCUCAAUGAUGCCGAGAUCAGGGCUCUGUGGAGGCCACACCAACUGAUGCAGAACACCUUGUUCUUCUUUCACCAAAGAUGGAACAUAAGUUGUUGCUCCUCCAACUUGAGAGCGGCCUCAUCGUGGCAGUAGAGGAGAUGCUGAGUCAACACGACUGGGAAUGAGAAGUAGAAUUGAAACGGGUGGCCAUCAGAAAUUCUCUCCUUUUGCUGCGGACAGAUGAAGGUGUUUGACAGAGCGGUCCCCCAAACUAUGUUGUUUUUUACCAAUGUAGUUGAGGGCACACCAGGAGCAUGGAUACUGUAGAAGACCCUGGCAGACUUGCAGAUGAAUGUUGCCUCACCUGGAAGGACUGUGUUUGAAUGUUUCGGCUCGCAAGAACGUUUAGGUAUUCGUGAUUCCUGUCUUUCAUGAUAUGGAAGAGGUGAAUAAAUAAAAUUGUUCUUUUAAUAUACGUUUUAAAAAUUUGUUGUUGA